rnacentral:lncRNA from 1 species
UUGAGGUCGACCAUCAGGAGGUCUUAAAGAUCAUCUUAGAGAAGAGGAGAAAGCAUCGAUCGAUGAUUCAAGAAACUCUUAAAUUCCCGAGAACAACCAUUCAUGAGCUACCUGAAGAUGAAUCUUUUGAGGUUUUGUAGAUUAGUACCGCAGAAACUUGGGUAGCACCUUAUAAGCGUUAUCUUGCUAAUGGAUUACUUCCUACCGAGCCUGC